rnacentral:rRNA from 1 species
GACGAACGCUGGCGGCGUGCCUAAUACAUGCAAGUAGAACGCUGAAGAGAGGAGCUUGCUCUUCUUGGAUGAGUUGCGAACGGGUGAGUAACGCGUAGGUAACCUGCCUUGUAGCGGGGGAUAACUAUUGGAAACGAUAGCUAAUACCGCAUAACAAUGGAUGACACAUGUCAUUUAUUUGAAAGGGGCAAUUGCUCCACUACAAGAUGGACCUGCGUUGUAUUAGCUAGUAGGUGAGGUAAUGGCUCACCUAGGCGACGAUACAUAGCCGACCUGAGAGGGUGAUCGGCCACACUGGGACUGAGACACGGCCCAGACUCCUACGGGAGGCAGCAGUAGGGAAUCUUCGGCAAUAGGGGCAACCCUGACCGAGCAGCGCCGCGUGAGUGAAGAAGGUUUUCGGAUCGUAAAGCUCUGUUGUAAGUCAAGAACGGGUGUGAGAGUGGAAAGUUCACACUGUGACGGUAGCUUACCAGAAAGGGACGGCUAACUACGUG